CCCCGUCUGAUGUCUAUCUGAUAUCACUUUUCCAUAACUUAAUCGCAUAUGAAUAUAUGAAAUAAAUAAAAUCCGAACAUAAAUUGAUUAUGUACAAGAGUAAUGUCCACUAUUGGUCGUAUGAGAAAUGUCAGGUUUCAACUUCCGGCAUUUCACUAUAAAGUUUCCAGAAUAGAUUAAUUCCACGGAAAACUGGGUUUGGCACAGUUUCUUGUCCUAUGAAGAAGGAUCUCUCCAAUGAGAUCGCUGUGAUUUGUAGAAUGUUCCAUAGCUGUUGUUGAGGUAGUAGGAACUGUUUUCUCCAACGUUGUUAGACGGCGACGACGGUUGAAGGUGGUCCUCCGGUGGGUAUGACGAGAGCUAAUACUCGG
rnacentral:lncRNA from 1 species